GGGGAUUUAGCUCAGUGGUGCAGUGCCUGCCUGACAAGCAUGAGGUUCUGAGUUCAAUUCCCAGUAACCA
rnacentral:tRNA from 1 species